rnacentral:misc_RNA from 1 species
AAGUCGUAACAAGGUCUCCGUAGGUGAACCUGCGGAGGGAUCAUUACCGAGCGAGGGCCUCCGGGUCCGACCUCCAACCCUUUGUGAACACAUCCCGUUGCUUCGGGGGCGACCCUGCCGGGCGCCCCCGGAGGACCACCAACACUGCAUCGCAUGCGUCGGAGUUUACGAGUAAAUCGAAACAAAACUUUCAACAACGGAUCUCUUGGUUCUG